GAUCAUCAGGAUUCUCAGCCUGAUCUCUUAUCUUGCGCAUCCUGUCUCCACCUCCUCUCUCCUCCCCGAGACCAUGGGAACAGUGUCCUUUCCCCGUAGAUUCCAUCUUCAAUUUUCUUGCGUGUUGCUGAUGAAUGCAGUGGUUUUGAGAAUAUCCUGAAGAGGCCUGGAAGAAUGACAGCCAAUCAAAUUAGGAAGUUUUCAGAUGCUGGAUUUUAUUGGAGUUACCUGAUCAAAGAGGAUGGCCUUUGAAGAAAAUCUUAAGAGUCACAUCACCAAGCGAAGCAAUUAAACUGGUUUACCCAGUCAAGCUAGGAGGCUACUCCAGGAGAUUCCGAGAAUCCGAAUCAAGUUCCAAAUCGUCGUUCAGUGUGAGCAGCCCCUCCAGCCCUCUCCUACUAGGUGCCCAAGUGGAAAAAGCCCAGAUCUGGG